rnacentral:rRNA from 1 species
GAUGAACGCUGGCGGCGUGCCUAAUACAUGCAAGUCGAACGAACGGACGAUAAGCUUGUUUCUUUGAUGUUAGCGGCGGACGGGUGAGUAACACGUGGAUAACCUACUUAUAUUUCUGGGAUAACUACGGGAAACCGGAUCUAAUAACACAGGAUAUUUUGAACCGCAGUGUGCAAAGGAGAUAGACGGUCUUGGUGUCACUUAUAGAUGGAUCCGCGCUGCAUUAGCUAGUUGGUAAGGUAACGGCUUACCAAGGCAACGAUGCAUAGCCGAGCUGAGAGGAUGAUCGGCCACACUGGAACUGAGACACGGUCCAGACUCCUACGGGAGGCAGCAGUAGGGAAUCUUCCGCAAUGGGCGAAAGCCUGACGGAGCAACGCCGCGUGAGUGAUGAAGGUCUUCGGAUCGUAAAACUCUGUUAUUGGGGAAGAACAUAUGUGUAAGAAAAUGUGGACGUCUUGACGGUACCUAAUCAGAAAGCAACGGCUAACUACGUG